CUCUUAUUAAGAGUGAGUGGAGGGACUUGGCCCUGUGAAGCUCCGGCAACAGCCUUUUGGCGAUGUGCUAAAUCCAACAGUUAUGUAUAACUGAAAGAUGAGAA
rnacentral:ncRNA from 1 species